UAGGGAAUAUUGCACAAUGGGCGCAAGCCUGAUGCAGCAACGCCGCGUGCGCGAUGAAGGCCUUCGGGUUGUAAAGCGCUUUUCGGAGGGAUGAAUCAAGACAGUACCUCCAGAACAAGGAUCGGCUAACUACGUGCCAGCAGCCGCGGUAAAACGUAGGAUCCAAGCGUUAUCCGGAAUUACUGGGCGUAAAGGGCGUGUAGGCGGCUUGGCAAGUCGGUCAUGAAAGCUCCCGGCUCAACUGGGAGAGGUUGUCCGAUACUGCCAGGCUAGAGGGCAAGAGAGGGAGGUGGAAUUCCCGGUGUAGUGGUGAAAUGCGUAGAUAUCGGGAGGAACACCAGUGGCGAAGGCGGCCUCCUGGCUUGCGCCUGACGCUGAGACGCGAAAGCGUGGGGAGCGAACGGG
rnacentral:rRNA from 1 species